rnacentral:rRNA from 1 species
AUACGGAGGGUGCAAGCGUUACUCGGAAUCACUGGGCGUAAAGCGCGCGCAGGCGGGCUGAUAAGUUGGAUGUGAAAGCCUACGGCUCAACCGUAGAACUGCAUCCAAAACUGUCGGUCUAGAGUGUGGGAGAGGAAGAUGGAAUUAGUUGUGUAGGGGUAAAAUCCGUAGAGAUAACUAGGAAUACCAAAAGCGAAGGCAAUCUUCUGGAACACUACUGACGCUGAGGCGCGAAGGCGUGGGGAGCAAACAGGAUUAGAAACCCCAGUAGUCC